CAGCAGCCGCGGGAAUACGAAGGGGGCUAGCGUUACUCGGAAUUACUGGGCGUAAAGGGCGCGUAGGCGGCACGAUUAGUCAGGCGUGAAAUUCCUGGGCUCAACCUGGGGACUGCGCUUGAUACGGUCGAGCUAGAGGAUGGAAGAGGGUUGUGGAAUUCCCAGUGUAGAGGUGAAAUUCGUAGAUAUUGGGAAGAACACCGGUGGCGAAGGCGGCAACCUGGUCCAUUACUGACGCUGAGGCGCGACGGCGUGGGGAGCAAACAGGAUUAGAUACCCGCGUAGUCCCUGUCUCUUAUAC
rnacentral:rRNA from 1 species